CCUUUCAAACGGGGGUUCUACUGCUCCUAUCUCGGUAGUCGAGAGGUAGAGCCCCUGUCUGCACCCUUGUCUUUUGCGUACUUAUGUUUCCUCGGUAGGCUUGCCUGCCGAUAGGACACUUAAAACUCUUUUAAUUUUAAAUCAGCGUCUGAAAAACUUAAUAUUUA
rnacentral:misc_RNA from 1 species